rnacentral:sRNA from 1 species
UACCGCCAGUUUUUCCCUCGUAAUGUGGCUGGCAGCGCUUGGAAAAGGGGGGGGUACUCCAGCCUUGACAACCUAAUGAGGCAAUGGUA